UACGUAGGGUGCGAGCGUUAAUCGGAAUUACUGGGCGUAAAGCGUGCGCAGGCGGUUGGCCGUGUCCGAUGUGAAAGCCCCGGGCUUAACCUGGGAAUGGCAUUGGAAACUGGCUGGCUGGAGUGUGGCAGAGGGGGGGUGGAAUCCACGUGUAGCAGUGAAAUGCGUAGAGAUGUGGAGGAACACCGAUGGCGAAGGCAGCCCCCCUGGGCCAACACUGACGCUCAGGCACGAAAGCGUGGGGAGCAAACAGG
rnacentral:rRNA from 1 species